GUACUCACUUUGGCAGCACAUAUAGUAAAAAAUUAGACCGAUACAGAGAAAAUUAGCAUGGCUCCUGAGCAAGGAUGACAUGCAAAUUCAUAAAGUGUUUCAUAUUUUU
ensembl:snRNA U6 U6 spliceosomal RNA